rnacentral:lncRNA from 1 species
AGUUUAGCAAGAUUGCUAUUGGAGCUCCUGAUUGGGAUUAUUAUAGAUAUCCUUUUUUGUUUUGUUUCGCAUGUGCUAUUCUGACUGAUUUAUCUUUUACCUAACAAUUAGUAUCUAUAGUAAAUAACAUCAUCGUGUUAACAUUUGCAUGACAGAAUUGCUUUGCAUGCUUAUUCUGUUUUUGAACUUUUUUUAGUCCUCAUAACAAAAGUGAUGAUGGUAUGAUAUUUAUAAAUACAAUAGUUGCAUCCCUCCGGGAAACAUAUCUUGAAGGAUCUAUGUAAAAGCUCCAAAUUCAUUCCAUUAGUUGGCAGAAAUAACUGAUUGUAACUUGAAGGAUCUAUGUAAAAGCUCUUUGGAAAACGUUCUUGUUGGUGGAACGAUAAUAGGUCAGAGACCCUUAAUUAGAGUAGAGUUAGGGGAAAUGCAGUGUUCUAUAAUAGUCUUUAAUGAAAUAUAAUGAUGAAAUUGUGAGAGACCUGCAUUUCUCAACUAUCCAGGAGGGCUUUUCAUUUUGUAUACGAUAGACCUGGGAUGCAAUAUAGAAGAAGGGGAGGAGGGAAUAGUAGAAGAGAUAUAUGAGCCUAAGAAACAUUUUGUAUACGACAGACCUGGAAUGAAAUAUAGAAGGGGAGAAGAGGGGGCAUGUGUGAGAGUGGUAUAAGGAAUAUAUGAGCCUAAGAAACAAAGCUACUUGUGUAUGAAGAAGAAAGAAGCAGGGAGCCGGAAAAGGUCAUGAAAAAUCUUGAGUGAAUACAUUUUAGCCAGGCUGCUGAGGGGUGCUUUUGGUUUUCUGAUUUUGAUAUGCAAAUAUAUCGAGAAAGGAACUAGUGGGCCUUUGAGUACCAACAAGAAGUUUAUUUUUGGCUAAGACACCACAUUGGAAUAUUUAGACCACAUUAUAUGAGCAGAAGGGCUCAUAGAAGACCCUAAAAAUAUAGAAUCUGUGUAUCAAAAGGCCAGCCGUUAUUUAAUUAACCGUGUAUUAAAAGGCCAGCCGUUAAGGAUUAGUCUGUGUGUAUAUAUGUAGUCCAUUAUGCACAUGGCUAAUCUGAUUUAGAAAUCUUGACAUUGCUCUCAAUCUCAUUGGAAGAAUAUUUGGUUACAUCUCAUUAAUUAUCAACUGUUUUUAUUUUACUCUGUCAAAAAAAACUGUUUAUUUUAGAUUUUAGAUACACUUUGGUGGUCAAUCUAAGUGCUCAAUGAUGCUGCACAGAGGCAUCUCAAGCUGAUGAAUGAUUGGAAAUUAAAGGGAAUACAAUAAUAGUAUUAAAUUGCAUUUUGGACCUGAUAAUGCUACAUAUGUUUAGUUAGUGUUCUGACUAUCACACAUUUUUCAAUUACGUUGCUAAUUUUUCUCUUACCACUUGAUCACAGUACUUGUAUAUUUUUUUUUUAAUAAUUAUGAGAUUCCCUU